rnacentral:rRNA from 1 species
GGGAUGAGCUGUGGAUAGGGGUGAAAGGCCAAUCAAACUUCGUGAUAGCUGGUUCUCUCCGAAAUGCAUUUAGGUGCAGCGUUGCGUGUUUCUUGCCGGAGGUAGAGCUACUGGAUGGCCGAUGGGCCCUAAAAGGUUACUGACGUCAGCCAAACUCCGAAUGCCGGUAAGUGAGAGCGCAGCAGUGAGACUGUGGGGGAUAAGCUUCAUAGUCGAGAGGGAAACAGCCCAGAUCGCCGGCUAAGGUCCCCAAGUCGUGGCUAAGUGGGAAAGGAUGUGGGACUCCCAAAACAACCAGGAGGUUGGCUUAGAAGCAGCCAUCCUUGAAAGAGUGCGUAAUAGCUCACUGGUCAAGUGAUUCCGCGCCGAUAAUGUAGCGGGGCUUAAGUUAUCCGCCGAAGCUGUGGCAACCUGUGUGGUUGGGUAGGGGAGCGUCGUGUCAGUGGUGAAGCUGCCGGGUGACUGUGUGGUGGAGUUGAUGCGAGUGAGAAUGCAGGCAUGAGUAGCGAAAGACGGGUGAGAAACCCGUCCUCCGAAAGACCAAGGGUUCCAGGGUCAAGCUAAUCUGCCCUGGGUAAGUCGGGACCUAAGGCGAGGCCGUCAGGCGUAGUCGAUGGACAACGGGUUGAUAUUCCCGUACCGGCGAAGAACCGCCCAAGUCAAUCCAGUAAUGCUAAGCACCCGAAUACCACGGGUUCUCCUUUGGGAGUUUCUGUGGGGCUAGCGUGCGACCCUAUGCUGGUGCGGCUAACGUAUUAACAGGUGUGACGCAGGAAGGUAGCCUCCGCGGGGCGAUGGUUGUCCCCGUCUAAGGAUGUAGGGCGAACGAUAGGCAAAUCCGUCGUUCACAUGCCUGAGAUCUGAUGGUGAGUCCGUAUGGACGAAGAGGGUGAUCCUAUGCUGCCGAGAAAAGCAUCGACGUGAGGUUCUAGCCGCCCGUACCCUAAACCGACUCAGGUGGUCAGGUAGAGAAUACCAAGGAGAUCGAGAGAAUCAUGGUUAAGGAACUCGGCAAAAUGCCCCCGUAACUUCGGGAGAAGGGGGACCACUGCUGGUGACAGACUGGUUGAGCUGGUGGUGGUCGCAGAGAGUAGAGGGAAGCGACUGUUU